rnacentral:rRNA from 1 species
AGUGAACGCUGGCGGCGUGCUUAACACAUGCAAGUCGAACGAGAACGGGUUAUAGCUUGCUAUAAUUGUCAGCUAAGUGGCGCACGGGUGAGUAAUGUAUAGGUAAUAUGCCUCUUGCUAAGGGAUAACAAAUGGAAACGUUUGCUAAUACCUUAUACUCCUUAUUAACAGAAGUUAAUAAGGGAAAGAUUUAUUGGUAAGAGAUUAGCCUGUAUUGUAUCAGUUAGUUGGUGGGGUAAUGGCCUACCAAGACUAUGACGCAUAACUGGUUUGAGAGGAUGAUCAGUCACACUGGAACUGAGACACGGUCCAGAUUCCUACGGGAGGCAGCAGUGGGGAAUAUUGCACAAUGGACGAAAGUCUGAUGCAGCAACGCCGCGUGGAGGAUGACACAUUUCGGUGCGUAAACUCCUUUUAUAUAAGAAGAUAAUGACGGUAUUAUAUGAAUAAGCACCGGCUAACUCCGUGCCAGCCGCCGCAGUAA